GAGUUUGAUUUGGCUCAGGAUGAACGCUAGCUACAGGCUUAACACAUGCAAGUCGAGGGGCAGCAUGGUCUUAGCUUGCUAAGGCCGAUGGCGACCGGCGCACGGGUGAGUAACACGUAUGCAACUUACCUAUCAGAGGGGGAUAACCCGGCGAAAGUCGGACUAAUACCGCAUGAAGCAGGGGCCCCGCAUGGGGAUAUUUGCUAAAGAUUCAUCGCUGAUAGAUAGGCAUGCGUUCCAUUAGGCAGUUGGCGGGUAACGGCCCACCAAACCGACGAUGGAUAGGGGUUCUGAGAGGAAGGUCCCCCCAAUUGGUACUGAGACACGGACCAAACUCCUACGGGAGGCAGCAGUGAGGAAUAUUGGUCAAUGGGCGUAAGCCUGAACCAGCCAAGUCGCGUGAGGGAUGAAGGUUCUAUGGAUCGUAAACCUCUUUUAUAAGGGAAUAAAGUGCGGGACGUGUCCCGUUUUGUAUGUACCUUAUGAAU
rnacentral:rRNA from 1 species